GACUUGGGGAUCGGGCGGGGGUUCUCGUAGCCCCCGUCGGGCACCGUAUGAGAAAUCAAAGUCUUUUGGGUUCUGGGGGGGAGUAUGGUCGCAAGUCUGAAAACUUAAAGGAAUUGACGGAAGGGCACCACCAGGAGUGGAGCCUGCGGCUUAAUUUGACUCAACACGGGGAAACUUACCAGGGCAAAACAUGGGUGGGAUUGACAGAUUGAGAGCUCUUUCUUGAUUCUAUGGGUGGUGGUGCAUGGCCGUUCUUAGUUGGUGGAGUGAUUUGUCUGGUUAAUUCCGAUAACGAACGAGACCUUAACCUGCUAACUAGGUCCGUGCCCUCAGGCGCGGCGCCUUCUUAGAGGGACUGCGUGCAGUAAGCUCGCGGAAGUUUGAGGCAAUAACAGGUCUGUGAUGCCCUUAGAUGUCCUGGGCCGCACGCGCGCUACACUGGUGCGUUCAGCGAGUACCUGACCCGGAAGGGUGCGGGCAAUCUCGGCAGUACGCACCGUGCUGGGGAUCGAUCUUUGGAACUAUAGAUCUUGAACGAGGAAUUCCUAGUAAGCACAGGUCAUCAACCCGUGCUGAUUACGUCCCUGCCCUUUGUACACACCGCCCGUCGCUCCUACCGAUUUCGAGUGAUCCGGUGAACCUUCUGGACUGCGCCGGCCUUGAGCCGUGCGCGGGAAGUUAAGUAAACCUUAUCACUUAGAGGAAGGAG
rnacentral:rRNA from 1 species